rnacentral:rRNA from 1 species
UCAAGAAUAUUCCUCAAUGGACGAAAGUCUGAAGGAGCGACGCCGCGUGCAGGAUGAAGGUUUUCGGAUCGUAAACUGCUUUUACAAGGGAAGAAUUUGUGACGGUACCUUGUGAAUAAGAGGUUGCUAACUCUGUGCCAGCAGCAGCGGUAAUACAGAGACCUCAAGCGUUAUCCGGAUUUAUUGGGCGUAAAGCGUCCGCAGGUGGUCUAGCGGGUUAGAGGUUAAAAUCUAUCGCUUAACGAUAGAACUGCUUCUAAAACUACUAGACUUGAGUACGGAAGAGGCAAUCGGAAUUCUCGGUGUAGUCGUAAUAAGCGUUGAUAUCGAGAAGAACACCAAAUGCGAAGGCAGAUUGCUGGUACGUUACUGACACUCAUGGACGAAAGCGUGGGGAGCAAACAGG